ACAUAAUGUGGUGCACACAAGCAUUCCUUUAGCCUGUCUAAACCAGCCUGACUUGGUAAAGGUACAUAAUGUCGCGGGUAUAAACCAGCUUGAAGUGCACACAAGCAUUCCUUUAGCCUGUCUAAACCAGCCUGACUUGGUAAAGGUACAUAAUAUGGUGGGUAUAAACCAGCUUGAAGUGCACACAAGCAUUCCUUUAGCCUGUCUAAACCAGCCUGACUUGGUAAAGGUACAUAAUAUGGUGGGUAUAAACCAGCUUGAAGUGCACACAAGCAUUCCUUUAGCCUGUCUAAACCAGCCUGACUUGGUAAAGGUACAUAGUGUGGUUGGUAUAAACCAGCUUGAAGUGCACUCAAGCAUUCCUUUAGCCUGUCUAAACCAGCCUGACUUGGUAAAGGUACAUAAUGUGGCGGGUAUAAACCAGCUUGAAGUGCACACAAGCAUUACUUUAGCCUGUCUAAACCACCCU